UGCAAGUCGAGCGCGGGAAGCAAACAGAUCUCCUUCGGGAGUGACGUUUGUGGAACGAGCGGCGGACGGGUGAGUAACACGUGGGCAACCUGCCUGUAAGACUGGGAUAACUCCGGGAAACCGGGGCUAAUACCGGAUAAUCCUUCUUGCCACAUGGUGAGGAGUCAAAAGGCGGCUUUUAGCUGUCACUUACAGAUGGGCCCGCGGCGCAUUAGCUAGUUGGUGGGGUAAAGGCUCACCAAGGCAACGAUGCGUAGCCGACCUGAGAGGGUGAUCGGCCACACUGGGACUGAGACACGGCCCAGACUCCUACGGGAGGCAGCAGUAGGGAAUCUUCCGCAAUGGACGAAAGUCUGACGGAGCAACGCCGCGUGAGUGAUGAAGGUCUUCGGAUCGUAAAACUCUGUUGUCAGGGAAGAACAAGUAUGGUAGUAACUGACCGUACCUUGACGGUACCUGACCAGAAAGCCCCGGCUAACUACGUGCCAGCAGCCGCGGUAAUACGUAGGGGGCAAGCGUUGUCCGGAAUUAUUGGGCGUAAAGCGCGCGCAGGCGGUCCUUUAAGUCUGAUGUGAAAGCCCACGGCUUAACCGUGGAGGGUCAUUGGAAACUGGAGGACUUGAGUACAGAAGAGGAGAGUGGAAUUCCACGUGUAGCGGUGAAAUGCGUAGAGAUGUGGAGGAACACCAGUGGCGAAGGCGACUCUCUGGUCUGUAACUGACGCUGAGGUGCGAAAGCGUGGGUAGCGAACAGGAUUAGAUACCCUGGU
rnacentral:rRNA from 1 species